rnacentral:ncRNA from 19 species
CUCUUAUCCAGAGAGGUGGAGGGAAAAAGGCCCUAUGAAACCCGGCAACCAGUGAGAAAUCACUACGGUGCCAAUUCCGGUAAAGAAAUUCUUUACAAGAUGAGAG